rnacentral:rRNA from 1 species
CAUGAAGCUGGAAUCGCUAGUAAUCGCGGAUCAGAAUGCCGCGGUGAAUACGUUCCCGGGUCUUGUACACACCGCCCGUCACACCAUGGGAGCCGGAAAUGCCCGAAGUCAGUGACCCAACCGCAAGGAGGGAGCUGCCGAAGGUGGAGCUGGUAACUGGGGUGAAGUCGUAACAAGGUAAC